GAUGAACGCUAGCUACAGGCUUAACACAUGCAAGUCGAGGGGAAACGGCAUUGUGUGCUUGCACUCUUUGGACGUCGACCGGCGCACGGGUGAGUAACGCGUAUCCAACCUUCCCAUUACUGUUUGAUAACCUGCCGAAAGGCAGACUAAUACCGCAUAGUCUUCGAUGACGGCAUCAGAUUUUAAGUAAAGAUUUAUCGGUAAUGGAUGGGGAUGCGUCUGAUUAGCUGGUUGGCGGGGUAACGGCCGACCAAGGCGACGAUCAGUAGGGGUUCUGAGAGGAAGGUCCCCCACAUUGGAACUGAGAAACGGGCCAAACUCCUACGGGAGGCAGUAGUGAGGAAUAUUGGUGAAUGGAAGGAAGUAUGAACCAGCCAAGUAGCGUGCAGGAUGACGGCCCUAUGGGUUGUAAACUGCUUUUGUAUGGGGAUAAAGUCAGGGAAGGGUCCCUAUUUGCAGGUAACAUAUGAAUAAGGACCGGCUAAUUACGUG
rnacentral:rRNA from 1 species